AAUGGGCGACAGCCUGACGCAGCGACGCCGCGUGGGGGAUGAAGGUCUUCGGAUUGUAAACCCCUUUCGGGUGGGAAGAUGGCCGUCGACCACGACGGCGGACGGUACCACCAGAAGCAGCCACGGCUAACUUCGUGCCAGCAGCCGCGGUAAUACGAAGGUGGCAAGCGUUGUUCGGAUUUACUGGGCGUAAAGGGAGCGUAGGUGGUGCGGUAAGCCCUCCGGGAAAGCUUCAGGCUUAACCUGAAAAGGUCGGGGGGGACUGCCGCGCUAGAGGACGGGAGAGGAGCGCGGAAUUCCCGGUGUAGCGGUGAAAUGCGUAGAGAUCGGGAGGAAGGCCGGUGGCGAAGGCGGCGCUCUGGAACGUUACUGACACUGAGGCUCGAAAGCGUGGGGAGCAAACAGGAUUAGAUACCCUGGUAGUCCACGCCCUAAACGAUGGACACUACGUGCCGGCGGGUUACCGUCGGUGCCGCAGCUAACGCAGUAAGUGUCCCGCCUGGGGAGUACGGCCGCAAGGUUG
rnacentral:rRNA from 1 species